rnacentral:rRNA from 1 species
CUACGGGCGGCACCAGUGGGGAAUAUUGCACAAUGGGCGCAAGCCUGAUGCAGCAACGCCGCGUGGGGGACGAAGGCCUUCGGGUUGUAAACCUCUUUUAGUAGGGAAGAAGCGCAAGUGACGGUACCUACAGAAAAAGCACCGGCUAACUACGUGCCAGCAGCCGCGGUAAUACGUAGGGUGCAAGCGUUGUCCGGAAUUAUUGGGCGUAAAGAGCUCGUAGGCGGUUUGUCGCGUCUGCUGUGAAAAUCCGAGGCUCAACCUCGGACCUGCAGUGGGUACGGGCAAACUAGAGUGCGGUAGGGGAGAUUGGAAUUCCUGGUGUAGCGGUGGAAUGCGCAGAUAUCAGGAGGAACACCAAUGGCGAAGGCAGAUCUCUGGGCCGUAACUGACGCUGAGGAGCGAAAGCGUGGGGAGCGAACAGGAUUAGAUACCCGGGUAGUC